rnacentral:rRNA from 1 species
AUUGAACGCUGGCGGCAGGCCUAACACAUGCAAGUCGAACGGUAACAGGAAACAGCUUGCUGUUUCGCUGACGAGUGGCGGACGGGUGAGUAAUGUCUGGGAAACUGCCUGAUGGAGGGGGAUAACUACUGGAAACGGUAGCUAAUACCGCAUAACGUCGCAAGACCAAAGAGGGGGACCUUCGGGCCUCUUGCCAUCGGAUGUGCCCAGAUGGGAUUAGCUAGUAGGUGGGGUAACGGCUCACCUAGGCGACGAUCCCUAGCUGGUCUGAGAGGAUGACCAGCCACACUGGAACUGAGACACGGUCCAGACUCCUACGGGAGGCAGCAGUGGGGAAUACUGCACAAUGGGAGCAAGCCUGAUGCAGCCAUGCCGCGUGUAUGAAGAAGGCCUUCGGGUUGUAAAGUACUUUCAGCGGGGAGGAAGGGAGUAAAGUUAAUACCUUUGCUCAUUGACGUUACCCGCAGAAGAAGCACCGGCUAACUCCGU